ACAGGCAUGUAUUCAAACCAGCACUCAGAAGUAUAUGCUACAGCCACCCUCUAAUAUCUUUGCUAAGUCUCUGCUGUUGUGAAUAUUUUAGUAGGCUUCUAUAGACCAGAGUGACAACCUCUCAACAGAAAAUCAUCAUGCUGAGCAAAUCUCUAGUCCAAUUACCACAUACCCAUUGUGUACAUUCUCACAAAAAAGACACCAGGCACAAAGGGGAAGCCAUUAUGUUUCAUUGAAAUGUAGUGUUUUUAUGUCUAAAGUCCUAUCCUGAGGUCUGCGCCUUCCUCUCCUCUAAUGUCCCCAGCGACUUCUUAAGAAAUGUCAGGAGGCGUUAAGUGCUGGAUGGCGAUUUACCCUGGUAGUCACACUUGAAAAGAUGAAUGUUUGGCUAUAGGAGGUCUACUGUUCACCAUACUCUUAUAUUUUUUCCCCCCUUGUGAGUUGUGACAAAAGAAAACCUUUUUGUAUUGGCAAGGAAAAUGUUUCCAGAUCUAUCUGCACUUUGAACACAUUCUUAAAUGUUUAAAGCUAUAAGCAUCUGACUUCUGAAUCUCAUAUGGUGUACAACUAGUUUUUAAUUUUUGUUCACCACUGUUGUCUGGACUCUUGUUGUUCUGGAUUGUUAUUAGGAAACAGAUUGCAAACCUUAAGAUGGCAAAGAGAAGACAUGAGAAUGGAAGAGAUUUUAUUUAGGUCUGAAUCCAAGUGUUAGUCAGUGGGGCUUCAAAGGGCUCUAUAUUCCCCUUUUAUCAUAGCUAUUUUUCACAGUAAAACAUGGCUUGCUGGAAUCAGUCCGGAUUAGAGUGGCUUUCACAAAGUCAACUUCAAAACUUACUUUGUGUCCUGUGGCACUGUGGAAAAACUCUGCUCCAGAAAUCUGAAAGAUGGCGUCAGGACUCCAGCCGAGAACAUCCCUUCAGCUGUAUUGGAAGAAGUCCUUUACUUAAGUACAAAGAAAAAGGAAUAUAACUCAGGCAAGUUGAAGAUGUUUUUGAGAUUGGACUCCUGCCAUGUGGACGCGAGGCAGCUGGGCUUUGACUUGAUCAAAGAGGGAAAGGUGUUUUGCCUCAUCAGGCGUGACGAGGAGAAGCUGUAGGUGCAAACACCCUGCACCAGCCUCAUUCUGGACUAAGAGGCUGGGAGAGAGGCCAGGGGAAAUUGCAGCAUCGCAGGGUACCAGCUGGUCACACACAAGAGCAAAGGGUGUGAUUUCACCUGGGCACUGGCACUCUCUGGCAAACCUCUGAUUAGGAUCUGAAAAGAGUGGACUGACCAGUGUAUUGUAUAUCGAGUUUAAACAUACCAUAUUCAUAGUCUGAAAUUAUAAAGAAAUACAUUUUAACCUUAAUGUUUCUGCUUAAUUCUCUCACUCACACACACACACACACACACACACACACACACACACACACACACACACAC